CAUUUCUGCAUUAUGUUGAUUGAUAUUAACCAUCUUCAUAGGAAAUUAUUUCCAAUUCGUGACAUCCAAAAGACGAUUGACUCAGAUUUAUCUCCUUGUAGUGCAAGCUGAAAAUGGAGACCUGCAAGGUUAUCCCUAUCCGUCACCGCCAGCAGCAGCAGAAGUUCCAGUCUCAAUAGAGUCUGUGUCUAAAGAGCACAACAACAAAGGUCAUGGUGGAGCAGUAACAAUGCCCACAGAGAAUAGCCACCUCCAGACUGUGGCUGUAAGUGCAUCCACAGGGACAGAUUUGUUCCAUACGCCACAUGAAAGGCACAAUUUCACGAAUGCCACAACUGCUGAAGAUGCAAUUGCUGCUUCAUCAACUGGAGGCUUUGUUUGGAAAGAGGGCUCCGAUUUACCUAUGCCGGCUGAGGCCACUGAAGCAAAUCUCACAUUGAUCUCUAAUUAUGAAGCUGGAUUUGAAUCGAUGAAGAAUGGCACCGUGAUGCCUGUGGCUCAUUUGUCCAAAGGCGUGGAGGAAGAGAAAGAGAAAGCCUCAGAAUUGCCGCUUCACUCUCUACUUGUUAACAGGAAUCAAAGAAUCGCUGAGUCUAUCACUCUUAUGUCCACACGACGGAGGCUGGGAGUACCUAUGGUGACUGCCACUCGUCCUCACAUAAUUGAUAACUGGGCCAAGUCAAAUGACAAUGAGGAAAAACGAGGCCAAGACGCAGAUGAAAAUGGGAUUUUGGAAUUGAGUGAGUCAGAAUCCAUCUUGCAUGACAGAAAGGAAGUUUCUUUGACUACGGAGCGCGUGAUGACAAACAUGUGUUUGAAUUGCCUGCAAGAAAAAAGGCCAUCGUCAACAGAAGAAAUGGCUGUUCUGUCUGCGUUGUUCGACCGAGGCAGCUCACUCAGUCUUGGAGGAAAUGGAAAUAUGCUUACUGUAAACUCCAGUCACCACAAGGCCUCAAUGCCGAGCUCAUUUGAAGCGACAACAAAGAAACAAGAGGACAGAACAGUAUUAUUUGAUGGUGCCAAAACAUCCAAAAAGAGCACAUUUGAUUUCUCUGUAAAUCUUUUGGAUGGGCUAGAUUAUGAGUUCAUACCACCCCUUUCCUCAUUAAACUCUGAAAUGAAUCUCAGUAAAACCAUGUUGAAUGAUUCAUUUGCUAGUACAUCUUUCUCAAACUCGGGAACGAUUGAAGUCAAGGCAAACACAACCAGAACAGUGUUUCUUACUUCAAAGGUGGAAAAUAUGACAGUUUCCAGAUUGAGUGAUAUUAGCAAAUCUUUUGAUAAAAGGUUGUUAUCAACAACCAGCAUGCCUUAUCCUUUAACUUCAGAGAUCUUUCACACUUUAUUAUUAUCAUUGAGAGAUAAAGAAGAAAAUAUAUCUGGGAAGACUGUGAAUCUCAGAAACCAGUCAAAAUUGGUUUCACAAAUCCAAGAUAAUUCAUCUGUAAAACUACAAAACAUAUCCUCCGGUUUACUUCAUAGUUUUCUUGGCAAUCACACAUUGGCGGGUGUUGACAUUACAAAUAAGGACACAGAGUUUAGUUUAGAAGAUGGGGGAGGGGGAGAGCGGGAGCAUGCUGUUGGGCAAGUUAUGACAAUUCCUCUCACCAAUGCUCCAUCUCCUUCUGUCCAUGUUAUCUCUGACCAGAACAUUGAAAACAGUGGGGUUAAUGACCCCAUCAGUGGGGCUAAUGACCCCAACAAUGGAUCAAUGAUAAGUGGUAUGCUAGACUCGUUUAAUUCUCUCUUUAGCCAAGCUCGUGAAAUAAUCACAUCAAAAAGCCACACCACUGACCACAUUGACAAAUCAGCCUUGCCUAUGAGAAUGCCAUCAAUCGAAAGCCAAAGUGCAACAACAUCCUUCCGCUCUACGAGGCAGACCACGGCAGCUGUCAAAGUUCCUCCUGCCUCUCAGGCUCUGACAGGGAGUGCGAAAUCUUUGAUGUCUGUGUUGAGUACCACUGGCCACCUGCCAGCACAGCCCAGUGUUCUGUUCAAAGAGCAGCAGCCUAUGAGCCUCCUGCCAGACGUCCCUAACAUGCAACGUGCAUCUGUAACUAUGAUGAGAACAUUGUCCAAAAAGCCGUUUGCCGACAAUGCAAACGGUAUCGAUAAACGGACUGCGCCUCCAGUUGUUUUGUCACAGACAGUGAAGCCAAGUGCUAAAGUAAAUGCUCAGUUGCCCAGAACAACAGAGAAAGGACUUACGUUUUCCGCAAAGCGUAUUUCUGAAACCACAAGUAAGUUAGACAUUUAUGUGUCCGCCAUGAUGACGACAAGAACACACGUCGAUGUGAAAAGGUCAACCGAGCAAAGACUUGCCGUAGGUCGCGGUGACAUAAAGUCGAGUGGUGACACCUUUCGAAUCUCUGCCGACAGUGCUGGGAACCUUGAACCACCUAAAGAAUUGAAAAAUGUGAACAUACUAAAGCUGAAAAACAACAGAGGACAGGAGUCUGACUUCUCUCAGCCUCAAGGUUCUCUUGAGGAGGUGACAGAAAUGACAAUGGACAAGAGCAGUACUGUUCACCAUGGGAUAAUGAAAACCACAGAAAGGCUGGCUCGAGAGGAAAAACGCACCUCUCCAAACAUGUCUCCCUCCCAUCUUUUAAUGAAACUGUUGGGAGCAACGGCAAGAGACAUUCAUCGGGCUGAAAAUCUAUCUGAAUCGCUGGAAGAAGAAAAUAAGUCAUUCUCUAGCCAAGCGCCAAGUCAUAAAAUGCCAGUGCAGACUGUGAUAACCCCAAGCCAGACACUAUCACGAAUGGUAUCUUUUAAUAAGAAACCACAUAUUGUGUCUAAACCACAGCAAUUCUCUACCCAUAGGGUCACGCUUACAAAAUAUGCCGAUGCGUCAACAAAACAUAAGCAAAGCAAUCAGCAAAGGCACUCAACAAAAGGUAAAAAACAAGUGUUUUUGACGACUUCCUCGCGGAGCACAGGCCCUCCAAAUCAAAUCAGAAAUGUGAAUGUAACAUUUGACGUCUCUCCAGAGAGUGUGAAGUCAACAUUUUCUACACCUGACAGUGUUGGAAAUCUGUUUUCACUUACCGCUGCAAAAUCAUUAACCCCAGUUGGGCAGUCAACUAUUCAGCCUAAUAUUGCAGUAAAGACAUCUACUUCCCACACAUCAGUAAUUCAACAUGUUUCAGCUCAAAAGUAUCACAUAAGCAUUUCGACAUCAACAACAUCAGGAAACUCAGUCUCUCAGUCCAUAACUGUUGGAAAACAUCUACAGCGUGUAGGACCGGCGACACCUCUCUUUGACAUUGUUAAAGAGGAUGUCAUGACCACUGACAUCACUGACGCAUUAAAGGGGAGCCACCUUGUUCCCCUCUUACCGCCUCGUCCGUAUAAUGACACAUCGACUAGUCCACCCACCGACAAUUACUCGCCCACAGGGCCACUUACCGCCAGCCUGGCUUUGCAUCAUCGCCAAGGGCAAUCUUCUUCUGAGAUAAUGCCUUUCGGCGCUCCAUCUCAAAGCCAAUGGGACUCGUUUACAGAUUCGGAGGAGAAAGAGGAACGGCAUUCAAAUGCCUCACAUGCUUCUGCCGAUAACGAGCAAAUAAGCCCUUCAGAGGCUCCAAUAGUGCAUGAAGUGAAAAGUGAGCAUUCUGGGUUUAGCACAUGGACGGCGCCGUUCGCUACCGAUAGUUCUGCCACCAGCCACAUUAACUUAACUCAAUCACGACCUGAUGAGACCAUGGGAUUGAGGGCCAAGGAACCCGCCCUGCCACGUGCACUACUGCACCAGACCACUAAUGGGGUUGGGAAUGACCAUGCUUUGUCUGGAGUAAGUCCAGCGCAUGAGUCUGGUAGAAAGCUCCUGGGGUCUGGGAGUGGGUCAGAUCCAUUGGCCUUGCACCAGAGAAUUGGGUUAUCAUCCCCUGAUCUCCUCACUGGAUUAGCGAUAAUUUCCGAUGAUAUUUGUGCCACUGGAAACUACACGGCCGAGAUGAACUUGAACCUGGAGCGCGACGUUCUGCCCGGAGACUUGGUCCCGGCUCUGGGGAUUCUCCACGUGGUCAUCAACCUGAAAACCAACAACAGCCAGGUGAACCUAGAGAUAAAGUCCUGCUGUCUCUCGCCCACUGUUCAGCUUGAUGACAUCAACAUAACCUGUUAUGUGUUUUCCAGGUAGGUGUUCAUAUUGUUGUGUUUCAUAUAUGGAAUAUCUCCAGCAGCCCGACUACCAACAGCUCCAGAAUGGGACUAAACUCUCAAUGCUGACUAACAUUCCAAUCAAGUCAAAUAAUGUCCUGGAAUCAAAACUCAAUCCCGCUUGAUCCAGGUUAGCAGGCAUGUGUUGAAUGUUGGAAUAUUUUUGUUCGCCGUAUAUAGACCGCCCAAGGCUUGCUUGCUGAUGGUCUUAUCGCAGUUUAUCGCAGUUAAUUAAGCAGCAUUUCUGGGAUGGAUGGCAAAUUAAACAUUUAGAGAGCGCAGAGCGAAAAAAAAAAAAAAAAAAAAAAAAAAAAAAAAACUCAUGUCUACCAACAGUAAAUAAACUCUUUAGCUGUGGACUACCACCACUGCCUAUAUCUGAACAGGGACGUUUUAUUUACUUGGAAAAGUGUUGACAAGGAAGAGGGGUGUCUUUUUAAUCCCCCAGUUAGGAUGGGGAUUGAAGGACAGCGAAACAUGUCUCCUUACGGUCAGGUUUGCUCCCAGACCAAUCUGAACUCCGCUUAUGUCGGCUGAGUAGCCUAUCAUUUCCAAAGAUCCAUCUUUUAAGUCUGUUAAAUCCCUGAAUUAGUGCUGAAUAUGCUUUUAUCAAAUGACUUGUCUUAAGAUCAUAUCGCAUAAACACAUCCUCAUAAGAGUUUUAGGAGAGGGGGCAUUUAUGCAGACUCAUAACCUCAAAUGGCAAGGCCUUCAUGAUCAAUAUGAACAGGAAGUCAAUGAUAACCAACUCCAUUGUUCCACUCUUCUUUACUUUGUGUUGACUUGCGGUUGUCAGAAACAUUUGGAACCUUUGCUCUUUGAAUUACACUCACUAUAAAAUUCACUUCAAAACAAAGUUCGGUGUCGUUCCAAUCACAUGUCCUGUGAACGUUUUUAUGCUUCUGUCGACCGACACUCAACCCCCCCUCUCAGUCCCACAGUUGUUGUGAUUUGUUGUGUGAACUUCCAGGUUACCGCUGAACCCGCGAGGAAUCAGGCUGUUACCCAGCAUCCUGUCAAAGCGCGCCAGCUUCACCAUCAGUCUCUUCCAGAUGAUUAAUUACUCCAUGGCAUACCUACACUGUGAUCUGAGCAUCUGCCUCAGGAACCAUACCGAGUGUGAGAGGGUGAGACUGGGAUGCUAGUAGUAAGGGCGAGGCAAUUUUAUCGCAUGCACCGAUCAGUUAAGGAAGAGGUGGGGAGUAUGGGAUGUAGGAGAGGGGAAAUUGUGUGGGUUAGACUACGGUUCGGGCACACAGGUCUGAAUGCCAAGUUGUGGAUGAUGGGGAGACAUGAAACAGGUCUGUGUGAUGAGUGUUCAGUGGGGGAAAUGCGGGAGCAUGUGUUGAUAUUUUGUGAACUGGGUGACGUCGACAGGGAGAGAUUGUGUGAAAGAGUUAGAGAUCCUGGACAGGGUUGGGGCUUUGGGUGGUGUAGUGGGAGGAGGAAAGGGGAGGGAGGUGGUGUCUAGGGCUCUAUUUCACUUUUCUUAGAGCCAUUGGGGGAAACAAGGAGACUUACUGAGAUGGAGAUGCCCCCCCAUUGGAAUAGCUGGAGAUGGAACAUUCUCAUAAAGCUACAUUUCUUUCAAUUUCUAUUGUUUAGCCUGUAGCCUAGCCUAGCGAGCCGCCUUCAAGUUGAUAAUAGGCCUUUUAUGUGUUGUUUAGUAUGUUGCCUAGCAUAUGACCUAGUGUGCUGCCUUCAAGCUCAAAAUAGGCCUUUAUGUGUUGUUUGAGGUAUAUAGCCUUGCAUGUAGCCUUCAAACUAAAACCUCACUAUUGUUAGAAGAUUAAUUAUGUGCUGUAUAAAAUUAUUUAUUUCCAGUGACAUUGAUAUCAAACAACAACAACAACAACAACUGAGGCAACAUGUUUGAGGCAUGUUAAUAACAGAGGAGUGAUGUACACUACACUAUGCACCUGGAAAGAGACCCGGAAACAUCGUAAUUACCGGUUAUCUCCUCCAACUCAUCGUUUUCCACACACACACACGCCAUGUUUUUCUCUGUUCUGACUGCAGCAGUGUCUUCAGCACAGAGACCUCUUCUCUGAAGAGGGUCCAGAGGCUAUCACCAAUCUGAGGAACCGCAUAUCCUUUGGUCCCAUGUUGAAAGGAGCAGAGAAUUCUUCUCUCCCGGGGGAGAUGGGUAAUUAUUAGCGCGACUAAGGAAUCAAAUGUGACCAGUCUUGAUAAUACGCUCAAAAGAUCCUUAUCAGAGAAGAAAUUAGUGCCUGCUGUGUGUAGACUGUGGUGCAUCACAAAUGGCACCCUAUUCCCUAUGGGCCCUGGUCAAAAGUAGUGCACUAUAUAGGGAAUAGGGUGCCAUUUGUGACAAUUUGUGUUACUGUAUGCAUUUCAGAUACAGCAGCUGAGAUGGAGAUUAUGCUUGUCAUCCUGGGGAUGGUGGUGGGGUGUUCGCUGAUGACGGGGACCCUGCUGCUUCUCUGGAUGGCCUAUAGACGGCGGAGGGCCGAUUGGAUGGUUUACUCAGAGUCCAGAGCGUGCUGCGGCUGCCUGCGUAGAGGAGACAUGAUCUUACCAUAGCCAAGUAGGAGACAAUGGUCAAUCACGUCAGCCUGCAGACCAGACCAGACCCUGACCAGAAUCAAUCCAAUUCACUCCUAUCAUACGUGACACCCGGGCCGAGCUUCUGUGGUCCCAUAUCUCACUCCCUUCACCGUCGCAGUGAAUGCCUUACCUUUACACUGUAGUAAUAUGACACAUAAACACAUGUACAGAACAGAUUACCUGAUGGUCGAUUAUCUUGGUCAAUUUUUUUGCAUGGUAACAAUUGCUAAUUCACCAAACAACUGUGCACAGUGAAGAUGAAUUGACGAUCAAGAGUGUUUUAUGAUCAUGUGACUUUUAACACGAUGUGUGUAUUGUGUAUACACCAUAUUAUUAUUUCUAGUCUCUUGUACUAAGUCCUCUAACCCUGCCACUAUCUGGAAGUGUUUGUUCAAAAAAAGUUUAUUAUCCUCUCAAUGAUUCUCAAUCAUCAUCUCAAGCAUGACGCAUAUUAUCAUACCAAUUCUGGCCAAUUGCUUUUAAAAACAAUACAGAUCACGGGCUACUUUCACUAAGACACCAAUGACACCGACAACUUAUUAACAUCCCUGUCUGCACUACUUCAUCAUGCACCAUCUUACCUCAAAUGCUACAACAGUUUGUUCCUGAUUUGCCACAACCUCAAAUGAUUAAACAACUUCCACAAUGCUCAG
rnacentral:lncRNA from 1 species